rnacentral:rRNA from 2 species
UUAAGGCUGAGACCUGAUGCCGAGCCGAUUGUGGUGAAGUGGAUGAUCCUAUGCUGUCGAGAAAAGCCUCUAGCGAGUUUCAUGGCGGCCCGUACCCUAAACCGACUCAGGUAGUCAGGUAGAGAAUACCGAGGCGUUCGGGUGAACUAUGGUUAAGGAACUCGGCAAAAUGCCCCCGUAACUUCGGGAGAAGGGGGGCCAUCACUGGUGAUCCGAUUUACUCGGUGAGCUGGGGGUGGCCGCAGAGACCAGCGAGAAGCGACUGUUUACUAAAAACACAGGUCCGUGCGAAGCCGUAAGGCGAUGUAUACGGACUGACGCCUGCCCGGUGCUGGAACGUUAAGGGGACCGGUUAGUGCACUUUCGGGUGUGCGAAGCUGAGAACUUAAGCGCCAGUAAACGGCGGUGGUAACUAUAACCAUCCUAAGGUAGCGAAAUUCCUUGUCGGGUAAGUUCCGACCUGCACGAAUGGCGUAACGACUUCUCGACUGUCUCAACCAUAGGCCCGGUGAAAUUGCACUACGAGUAAAGAUGCUCGUUUCGCGCAGCAGGACGGAAAGACCCCGGGACCUUUACUAUAGUUUGAUAUUGGUGUUCGGUUCGGCUUGUGUAGGAUAGGUGGGAGACUUUGAAGCGGCCACGCCAGUGGUUGUGGAGUCGUCGUUGAAAUACCACUCUGGUCGUGCUGGAUGUCUAACCUGGGUCCGUGAUCCGGAUCAGGGACAGUGUCUGAUGGGUAGUUUAACUGGGGCGGUUGCCUCCUAAAGAGUAACGGAGGCGCCCAAAGGUUCCCUCAGCCUGGUUGGCAAUCAGGUGUUGAGUGUAAGUGCACAAGGGAGCUUGACUGUGAGACCGACGGGUCGAGCAGGGACGAAAGUCGGGACUAGUGAUCCGGCAGUGGCUUGUGGAAGCGCUGUCGCUCAACGGAUAAAAGGUACCCCGGGGAUAACAGGCUGAUCUUCCCCAAGAGUCCAUAUCGACGGGAUGGUUUGGCACCUCGAUGUCGGCUCGUCGCAUCCUGGGGCUGGAGUCGGUCCCAAGGG